ACCGCGCCCGUGCGUCUGCGCGCCUGGCCGCCAGGUGACCCAGCAGCCCGGCCGCCGAGAUGCCCAACCCGCCCAGGCUCCGGGCGCUGUGACUUCGCGCCGCUGUGUGCGCCUCCCCGAGCGCCGGCUGCGCCCCCCAGCCCGGCCCGGGGCCUACCGCCUGCCCGGCCCCCUGCCACUGCCAGGAGGACGGCAUCAUGCUGUCUGCCGACUGCUCUUGAGCUUGGGCUGUCCGCCAUACCGGGGGACCUGGAUCCCCUGACGGCUUACCUGUGAGUACUGCCCGCCUGUCUCCACCUGGUACUGCGGGCUGCUGGCUUGCACCCAGUCCUGGCCUCAGCAGGACACCUGCUUGCUUGGUGCCCUGGGGCGUGGGCAUCCCGGAGAGGGUUCACCCCCUUCCAAGUUGACCGUUGCGGGACUGGGGAGGGGAGAAGAGUCUGAGACUAAAUAUCAGGCGAGCAGGGAGACCAGGCUUCCCUGACUUGGCUUCCCCAUUGGCCUCCGUGCUUGUGGGCUGACUGCGGGAGCCCAGGUUUGGCAAGGUGGGUUCUGGACCCUAAGCGGGAGGGCGCGGGGCUGGCUCCCCCAUCUCCUGUUGCUGCAUUCUCUUCCAGCAGAGCAGUGCCCAGGAUGGUGGCUGAGGGUAAAGCUGACAGAACUGGAGGUGGAGGUGAGGGGAGCGUGCCCCAGUGGGGUGGAAAUAAUGUCUGUUCUUCUGCCAUGGUGAGGACAACAGGGCUGUCACACUGAGGCUGGGUGGCCUUCUUUGGGGGGGGGGUCCCAGAAGCUGGGAGGGGGGCCUUAUCCACUCUUGUCUCCUCAGAAAGGGACUCUGCCAGCACCAUCUCCCUUUACUGGGGCCUCCCGGCUCCCCCAGGGGCCUCCCUAAAGUCAUGUCCCAAGAGGCUGUGUUGGAGACACUAAUUUGUGGGCAGGCGCGGAGGCUGAAAAGCGGAGAACCAUUUUUAGCGUCUGAGUUGGGGUGAGAUGGCCCGUGAAGGGGACCCUAUUGGGGGCAGCUGUCCUGUCCGUCUGGCUCACAGGAGCUUCCCCUCAGAGCUGGAGGGCUGGGGGCUCUCGCUGCUUACCACAUGGGCAGGAGGAGGGUGAGAGAGCACAUUCCAGGCCACCUACCCGCACCCCCAGCCCCGCUCUGGGGAAAGGAGACCUCCUCCAGCCCAGCUCUGCAGGCUCCAUCAACUUCCUCAGAGGAGCUGGGAGCAGGUGGGAAAGCCUGGGGCCUUCUGCUGAGGGCUAGGAUCCCAGAGCUCCUUCUGGCCUGAGAGAGACCCCUCAUGGCUUCUAGCAUGUGGGAGUUCUAGCACGUGGGAGCUUAGAGGAAGAGGACGCUGGGCGAAUCUUUAUAGGGGCCUAGCAAGAAUUUGUGGAACUAAAAGGAUGCUCAGUGUUGGCAGUGUCCUGGUGGGAGGCAGAGGGUCCCAGAUGGCAACUCUUCAUGGGGCUCCUCUCCAAAUGUCCCUGUCCCUAGGUUGGGAUGUCCUCCUCCACUCCAAAAGGCACAGGCUGUGGGCCAGGUAAGGGAGUGAGAAGAGAAAAAUAAUGCCCAUCUUCUAGAAGGACAAAUGGAAUCCUUCACAGUGCAGCAGGUGACGGCGGAGGCAGUCAUGGGAAUAAAGCUACCAACUGCACAGAGGCUGGGUGCUCAGCAUCUGGCAAAGCAGGGCAGGCUCCGGCCCCAGCCCACACCCAGGCCAGCCCUGCUUUCAGCAGUUUUCUAUCCUGGGAGUAUGUGACAUUGGUUCAUUGGAAGACAGGGUCCUGUGGCUAAAGAGUUUAGAUAUGACUUCUGUGGAGCCUUUCUCUGGGUGAGCUGAAGGAAGGUCCCUUGCCUGGGUUGAAGGGGCAGGGGAGAUAAGGCCUUCCAGAGCUUCCUUUCCCAGUGUUAAGUCUUCCUAGACUGAUUAAUGAUCCUUUUUCUAGAAGGACCUGGGGUAGGAGGUACACUGUCACCUUUGGAAUUCAAGCAUCCUACCAUCCAUGCUGGCAGAAGAUUUUCCCACUAACUUGUCACAAUUCCCUGGGAGCUGUGAAGUCUGCAUUUGGGUUCAGUGGAGGUGGGGUUUUCUGAGCUGGUCUGUGUCUUCCUGGGGAUUGAGAAAGCCCCCCUCUCUCUCAAGACUCAGGGGAUGCUUCUGAGAAUGGCGGAGAGAAGAGAGGGAGUGGGAGCUAGAAAGAGUACGAUGGGUCCUGAGGCAAUGUGGGGAAUUUAGCAGUGGGGUCUGGAAUAUUGGAAGGAGGUAGCAGAGGACCGUGUUCCCUGCCCUGGGCUGGGGAGGGGUCCCAUCAGGAUGGUGCAUGAGGGAUAUCUACAGUUGUCCUGAGGGUGUCUCAGAGGAGGAAUUUUCUUUCUUUGCCCUCUCUGGAGAACAGCUCUACCACAAAGGCACCUGAAGGUGGGGUUGAGGGCUGGCAUGGAGAAGAGCCAGGGUGGGGAAGUCUUGGGGCUCCUUUCUCUUUUCAGCGAUGUUAGGAGGUGCCCACCUUGGCCCUGCCCCAUGUAUCCCAGCCCUUGCUGAGGACAGCACAGAUUCGCAUCUGAUGAUAUAACCAGCAGUGCCUCUCUCUGGGCCACUCAAACCUUGGUUCCUUCCUAGCUCUGCCACCUACUGAGAGUCACUCACUGAACACCUCUAAGCCUCAGGUUCUUGAUGUGUACAUGGAGAGGAGGAAGCAUGUUGCUGAGAGGAUUAAAUGAGAUAAUAUGUUCAGUGAAAGUCCCCACAGUGCCUGACACCCGAGGGUGACUCUGAAAUGGUGGCUAGUAUUAUCAUGCCUCCUGUGGGUGCUCCGUGGAGGUGGAGGUAAACUACCAGGCCUCUCCACACCAGAGGGAAAUUGAGCCUAGUGGGUGAGUGUAGAAUUCAAGGGAAUUGUUUGUGGCUGGAGGAAGAGAGCUGUGUGCUUGGGGAGGUGACUGUCAGGGCAACUCUUGAUCAAUACUUGGCUGGUUCUGGGGACUUGGAGCCCAACCAGUUGGUGCAAAUUGGGGGUUGGGGAUCGGGAGGGAAGGUGGGGACUUAGAUCCUCCUGACACAGAGUUGAGAAUGAAAAAUGUUAAAACACUUGGAUAUGCAGGAAGUAGCAGGCCAGAGAGGACUCGAAGAUCCUUAGAAGGAGCCAUAGACGGAACCAUAGGAGGCGCCCAGGAGCUAUGGGCUCCAGAAGUUUCCUCCUAAACUGUGGUCUCAGCGAGGCUCAUUGACACUCACCGGGGUUUCGACAUUCUCCCUGGCUAGGGCCUGUUCUGGAAAUAGACCAAGGGGGAGAUGGAGCCCCUGGCCGUGGGACAUCCAAUCUGAUGGUGAUGAGAAGGCUGCUCAGGACCGAGGCUGAGACGGGCGACCAGGACGGGAUUGUAUGGCUGCAGGAGGCUACACAGUCCCAGGAGGCUGCUUCUAAGAGGCCCACGUGGCCUGCAUGGGGAUGCGCCUGGCUGUCCAGCAUGUGGUCAUUUGAAUUGUACAUGUUUCACUGGGAUGCCUACAGAAAAGUAGACAGAAGAUGUGGAAAAAGUUUUUGAAAUGUUGCAAACUUAGCUACUUUUAAAAUAAAAAAAAUAGCUUUAUAAUUAUAAAAGCAAUAUGUAAAUCUUAAAAUAAUUUGCUACAUUCUAGUAAGCAUCUUAUGAUCUCUAUGUGCCCUAUAACAUUAUGUUGUAUAGUUUAAAUAUAUACAAUAAAAUCUAUUUUAAAAAAUAGCAGGCAAUUAAAUCUCAUUUUAAAAAGAGUCAGUUUAACUCCCUUCUAAUUUCUACCCCUCGUUUUCCCUCUGUGUGUGUGUAUGUGUGUAUGUCAUCUUCGUUAAAUGGCUCAAUGCAUUCCGAAUAUUUUUUCCGUUGUCUUCAUGAUAUAUUCAUGGGAAGGGGAGUAUGUGGCUUAUUGCUGUUAGUUUAUCAAUAGAGAAUGCUGGCCAAAUGUCUUUAAGAGUAAUGACGAUCUCAAUAGCGGUAAUGACAGCUACCACUUUCGGAGCUCCUCCUGCCUACCAGGCACCACUGGGGUCCCUCUCUGCAGCCCCUCACGCCAUCCUCCUAGUCACUUUCUGAGGUGUGUGUGGUCAUCCUCCCAUUUGCAGGAGGGCUCUGAAGCACAGGAAGGUUCGAUACUUACCCCAUGGCCGGGAUAAGAUGGGCCAGGGCCAGGCUGUGAACUAAGGCAGAGAAGGGGCUCUCCAGCACCUUUCCUGAGCCCUUGCCUCCUCUGCCUCUGCCCCAUGGCCAUCUGGUGGGUGGACACAGCUAAGCCAUGGCUAGAACCCAGCAUUCUCAUGACUGCUUUAACCAUAGAAAAUCACAAGUUGCAAGCAACGGGACACACAUUUACUUGUCUACAUUAGCACUUGUGAUGAAGAUAAUUCAUGCUAUUUUUUUCCCCAUUCGGAACGUACCUGUCCUUAGAAUAGUUAGAGAAGUUUUAUGAGGAUUGUGUAACUAGCAUUAACUUAGGUCACCUAAUUCUUGAUCAACCAAAUCGCAGGUCAAACAAAGGAGGCCUAUGCCUUCAUAGAAAGCAUCAGUUAAUGUCCAUUUAAAAACUGAUGCUGGCCGGGCCCGGUGGCUCAUGCCUGUAAUCCCAGCACUUUGGGAGGCCGAGGCGGGUGGAUCACGAGCUCAGGAGAUCGAGACCAUCCUGGCUAACACGGUGAAAACCCAUCUCUAUUAAAAAUACAAAAAUUAGCUGGGCGUGGUGGCACAUGCCUGUAAUCCCAGCUACUUGGGAGGCUGAAGCAGGGAGAAUUGCUUGAACUCUGGAGGUGAAGGUUACAGUGAACCAAGAUCGUGUCAUUUCACUACAGCCUGGGUGACAGAGCGAAAGUCUGUCUCAAAAAAAAAAAACAAACAAACUGAUGUUGCAUCUUCCAGUCUAAAAUAAAAAUACAUUGUUAACCAUUUUUAUGUUUACAAAACCUACAGUUUUAUAGUUCUAAAAGUAGUACAUGUUCAUUACUU
rnacentral:lncRNA from 1 species